GAUGAACGCUGGCGGCGUGCUUAACACAUGCAAGUCGAACGAAGCAUUUAAGACAGAUUACUUCGGUUUGAAGACUUUUAUGAAUGAGUGGCGGACGGGUGAGUAACGUGUGGGUAACCUGCCUUAUAAAGGGGGAUAGUAGUUGGAAACGGCUGGUAAUACCGCAUAAGGGCACAGUACCACAUGGUACAGUGUGAAAAGCUCCGGUGGUAUGAGAUGGACCCGCGUCUGAUUAGCUUGUUGGCAGGGUAACAGCCUACCAAGGCGACGAUCAGUAGCCGGCCUGAGAGGGUGACCAGCCACACUGGGACUGAGACACGGCCCAGACUCCUACGGGAGGCAGCAGUGGGGAAUAUUGCACAAUGGAGGAAACUCUGAUGCAGCGACGCCGCGUGAGUGAAGAAGUCGUUCGCUAUGUAAAGCUCUAUCAGCCGGGAAGAUAGUGACGGUACCUGACGAAGAAGCUCCGGCUAACUACGUG
rnacentral:rRNA from 1 species